GAUUCAAGCAGUUUAAAAUGUUUACAGAAUUUCGAGAGAAGAAAUAAUCGAUUAUCAAGGGAUUCAAGUAGGUUUUUAAAAAUAAAUACAAUAUUAUUUCAAUCAUAACUCAUAGUGGGGCCCCCUGUGAUCCCUCUUCAUGUUACCGCACACAAUUAUAGAUAUAUUCCCAUUUCGUGUAUUUUUUUGAGAUAUAGGAACCAUCUGGAAAGAGAUUUUGUAGUAUUUUGAUUGCUUGUUAUUAUCAAAAUUAAAACAUAUAAAAGAUUCCAAUGUAAUGAAUAAUUUCCUUGAAAAUAUAGCAAACAAAUAAAUAAAUAAAUAAGUAAACAGCAUAAAAUAAAGAAUGCGUUCUUGUUUUCCCCUUUGAUCGCAUUUGCAUUUAAAUUAUAUCAAGGCAUCGCCAUGCGAAUAACGAAGUCAAGG